GGAGAGGUGGCAGAGUGGUCUAAUGCGCGGGUUUGCUAAAUCCGUGAACCCGUACGGGUUCCGCAGGUUCGAAUCCUGUCCUCUCCG
rnacentral:tRNA from 1 species